AUUUCACCUCUCCUUGAUGAUAAAUAUAAAAAUCUAGAGAAUGCAAGUGAGGAAGUGCAAAAUGAUCAAAGAUAAUAAAAAAACUAGGACUUACUAGUUAGCAUCACAACACUAGGUCCUUUACAUGACGAGAACAGAAGAGUUACCUCGAGCUACACUACUCUUCCUGCAACUCAUCCGCGCUGCUCUUCCUGUCCAAGAAUGACUCCAAACAUAAACCUCAACUCUUUUUUUGGUUCCAUUCCAGGAUACGCCACCCUAAAAGCUUCCUGCAGCUGAUUCGAUGGCAGCUCAUGCUGUAGACAACAUUGCAACAAAGG
rnacentral:lncRNA from 1 species